CCCGCACAAGCGGUGGAGCAUGUGGUUAAUUCGAAGCAACGCGAAGAACCUUACCAGGUCUUGACAUCCCGAUGCUAUUCUAGAGAUAGAAAGUACUUCGGUACAUCGGUGACAGGUGGUGCAUGGUUGUCGUCAGCUCGUGUCGUGAGAUGUUGGGUUAAGUCCCGCAACGAGCGCAACCCCUAUUGUUAGUUGCCAUCAUUCAGUUGGGCACUCUAGCGAGACUGCCGGUAAUAAACCGGAGGAAGUGGGGAUGACGUCAAAUCAUCAUGCCCCUUAUGACCUGGGCUACACACGUGCUACAAUGGUUGGUACAACGAGUUGCGAGUCGGUGACGGCGAGCUAAUCUCUUAAAGCCAAUCUCAGUUCGGAUUGUAGGCUGCAACUCGCCUACAUGAAGUCGGAAUCGCUAGUAAUCGCGGAUCAGCACGCCCGCGGUCGAAUACGUUCCGGCCUU
rnacentral:rRNA from 1 species